GACCCCGCGCAGAAGCGCGUAGCUGCUCUUUGGCCAGGCUGCAGCCAUGACGUCAGCGGCCACGUUCUGAGAACGGACCUGAAAGAAAUGGAAACAAACCGGCCAGGGAACUGAAGAUAAACCGUACUUGAAACAGUCAAGAUGACGUGGUCAGACCACAGAUGCUCCAUUUCAAGAUGACUAACUGCAGAGAUAGCCAUCAAAUCUCCAUUGCUACUUUCCCUUGUUCAGAGCUGAGUCUUAGAACAUCUGUAAAGUUCUAAAAUGUUACAACUGAUUCUGGGACUAAGAGGUGUCAUUAUCGCGAGGCUUCCCCUGGUCCUGGGUGAGAUCCUAUUCAGUAACUACUGAGUAUAGAGGGAAGAGCUUUGUUCCAGAGAAGCCUUCAAGAUCCAUCUUGGUUGAGGGGCGUGUGUGCACCCCAGCAGAGAGCCCUGAGACAAAUGAGCCAGGUGAUGGGACAAAGCAGGACGACUGGCCUGAGAGAAGAGAGAAACCUGGAAACUGUGUCCUUACAAAGAAUGUAAACUCCCCGAAGGCGUGGUUCUCUCUCUGAGUUCGCCCGUGCGCUGUUCUGUGUGCUCUUUUCAAUGAAUUUUUGCUUUACUCUUUACCUUCUGCCUCCUCGCCUGAGUGUUCCUGACUAGGCACGCAAGGACUAUGGACUCGGGCCUUAAUUGCUGGCCCCAGUGGUCCAGCGGGUAGGACUCCCAGUCCAAGAACCUAAGACCUUGAUUCCAGCUGCCGCUCACUUUACUGUUGCGUGCAUCCAAAAUCAGGACUACCAGGGAAGUCCCUCUCUACGCUUUUAUGCAUAAGUACUACAUGCCAAGGCCCUGUACAUCUAGCCCUCUCUCAUGCCUCCUGGGGAGAUGGACAUGAAAUUAAGUAAAUGCAAGGCCAUUUUUAAAACUAGGUCAGGGAGACCUACAGCAUAUGGAAGGAGCACAGAGG